rnacentral:rRNA from 1 species
CCUCAGGCGCUCGAGAGAAUUCCCGUUAAGGAACUAGGCAAAAUUACUCCGUAACUUCGGGAGAAGGAGUACCACCUUCGGGUGGUCGCAGCGAAAUGGCCCCGGCGACUGUUUACUAAAAACACAGGUCUCUGCUAAGUCGCAAGACGAAGUAUAGGGACUGACGCCUGCCCAGUGCCGUACGGUGAAGGCAAGUGGUUAGCUCUGGCUUGCCAGAGCGAAGCUACGAACUGAAGCUCCGGUAAACGGCGGCGGUAACUAUAACCGUCCUAAGGUAGCGAAAUUCCUCGUCGGGUAAGAUCCGACCUGCACGAAUGGCGUAACGACUGGGGCACUGUCUCGACGGGAUACUCGGCGAAAUUGUAAUACCGGUGAAGAUGCCGGUUACCCGCAGCAGGACGGAAAGACCCCGUGAACCUUCACUGCAGCUUGACAUUGGGUUUUGGCAUGGCACGUAUAGCAUAGGUGGGAGGCGUUGAAACUGUCGCGUCAGCGGCGGCGGAGCCACCAGUGGAAUACCACUCUUGUAAUGUCGGAGCUCUAACCUACACCCGUGAAUCCGGGUGAGGGACCGUGUCAGGUGGGUAGUUUGACUGGGGCGGUCGCCUCCUAAAGAGUAACGGAGGCGCCCAAAGGUUCCCUCAGUACGGUUGGAAAUCGUACGUCGAGCGCAAAGGUAUAAGGGAGCUUAACUGCGAGACAGACAAGUCAAGCAGAUGGGAAACCAGGGCUUAGUGAUCUUACGGUGCCGCGUGGAAGGGCCGUGACUAAACGGAUAAAAGGUACUCCGGGGAUAACAGGCUUAUCGCGUCCGAGAGUCCGUAUUGACGACGCGGUUUGGCACCUCGAUGUCGGCUCAUCACAUCCUGGGGCCGCAGUAGGUCCCAAGGGUUGGGCUGCUCUCCCAUUAAAGUUGGUACGUGAGCUGGGUUUAGAACGGCGCAAGCCAGUUCGGUCCCUAUCCGCUGUGGGCGUAGGAGAUUUGAGAAGAGCUGUCCCUAGUAUGACAAGACCGGGAUGGACGAACCUCUAGUGUACCAGUUGUUCCGCCAGGAGCACCGCUGGGUAGCUACGUUCGGAAGGGAUAAACGCUGAAAGCAUAUCAAGCGUGAAGCCCACUUCAAGAUAAGAUUUCCCAUCGGGUCAACCGAGUAAGACUCCUUCAAGACUAGGAGGUUGAUAGGCCGGGGGUGUAAGCGCAGCAAUGUGUUUAGCUGACCGGUACUAAUAGUCGAGGGCUUGUCCAACA